UGAGGAAUAUUGGUCAAUGGACGCAAGUCUGAACCAGCCAUGCCGCGUGAAGGAUGAAGGCCUUCUGGGUUGUAAACUUCUUUUAUGUGGGAAGAAAACUACGGUUUCUACUGUAGCCGACGGUACCAUAGGAAUAAGCACCGGCUAACUCCGUGCCAGCAGCCGCGGUAAUACGGAGGGUGCAAGCGUUAUCCGGAUUCACUGGGUUUAAAGGGUGUGUAGGCGGGCUGUUAAGUCAGUGGUGAAAUCUCCGGGCUCAACCCGGAAACUGCCAUUGAUACUAUCAGUCUUGAAUUCUGUUGAGGUGGGCGGAAUAUGUCAUGUAGCGGUGAAAUGCAUAGAUAUGACAUAGAACACCAAUUGCGAAGGCAGCUCACUAAGCAGCGAUUGACGCUGAGGCACGAAAGCGUGGGGAUCAAACA
rnacentral:rRNA from 1 species